rnacentral:tRNA from 2 species
GGAAAUAUGUCUGACAAAAUAAUUACUUUGAUAGAGUAAACAAUACAGGUUAAAAUCUCUCAUUUCUAGAACUACAAUAGAGGUUAAAAUCCUCUUAUUUCUA